rnacentral:rRNA from 1 species
GACGAACGCUGGCGGCGUGCUUAAUACAUGCAAGUCGAACGGAAAGGCCCUGCUUUUGUGGGGUGCUCGAGUGGCGAACGGGUGAGUAACACGUGAGUAACCUACCCUUGACUUUGGGAUAACUUCAGGAAACUGGGGCUAAUACCGGAUAGGAGCUCCUGCUGCAUGGUGGGGGUUGGAAAGUUUCGGCGGUUGGGGAUGGACUCGCGGCUUAUCAGCUUGUUGGUGGGUAGUGGCUUACCAAGGCUUUGACGGGUAGCCGGCCUGAGAGGGUGACCGGCCACAUUGGGACUGAGAUACGGCCCAGACUCCUACGGGAGGCAGCAGUGGGGAAUAUUGCACAAUGGGCGGAAGCCUGAUGCAGCAACGCCGCGUGCGGGAUGACGGCCUUCGGGUUGUAAACCGCUUUCGCCUGUGACGAAGCGUGAGUGACGGUAAUGGGUAAAGAAGCACCGGCUAACUACGUG